rnacentral:rRNA from 1 species
GACGAACGCUGGCGGCGUGCUUAACACAUGCAAGUCGAACGGAGAAUCUCCAGCUCUCGGGCUUGGAUCAGUUACGAACGGGUGAGUAACACGUGAGCAACCAGCCUCCGACUUUGAAAGAAGCGCCUGAAGCGAAGUCUAACAAUUAAUGCGAGAAAGUUCCGCAUGGGCACGUUAUGUUAAAUUGUUCGGUUGGGGAUGGGCUCGCGGGCUAUCUGCUUGUUGUUGGGGUAAUGGCUAACCAAGGCGACGCCGGGUCGCCGACCUGAGAGGGAGACACGCCACACUGGGACCGAGACACGGCCGCGACUGCUACGGGAGGCAGCAGUGGGAAAUAUUGCCCAAUGGGCGCAAGGCUGAUGAAGAGGCGCCGCGUGUGGGAUGACGGCGUUCGGGUUGUAAAACGCUUUCGGAAGGGAAGAAGAGAUAGUGACGGUACCCGAAGCAGAAGCACCGGCCAACUACGUG